GUGGGGAAUUUUGGACAAUGGGCGCAAGCCUGAUCCAGCAAUGCCGCGUGCAGGAAGAAGGCCUUCGGGUUGUAAACUGCUUUUGUACGGAACGAAACGGUCCUGGCUAAUAUCCGGGGCUAAUGACGGUACCGUAAGAAUAAGCACCGGCUAACUACGUGCCAGCAGCCGCGGUAAUACGUAGGGUGCGAGCGUUAAUCGGAAUUACUGGGCGUAAAGCGUGCGCAGGCGGUGCUGUAAGACAGGCGUGACAUCCCCGGGCUCAACCUGGGAAUUGCGCUUGUGACUGCAGUGCUGGAGUGCGGCAGAGGGGGAUGGAAUUCCGCGUGUAGCAGUGAAAUGCGUAGAUAUGCGGAGGAACACCGAUGGCGAAGGCAGUCCCCUGGGCCUGUACUGACGCUCAUGCACGAAAGCGUGGGGAGCAAACAGGAUUAGAUACCCCGGUAGUCC
rnacentral:rRNA from 1 species